rnacentral:sRNA from 1 species
ACAACAGGGCCUGGGUUUUUGUCGAGCGC